ACAAAAACAUGUCUCUUUGGUAUAUUUUACAUAAAGAGUUUGACCUGCCCGGUGAUGUUAAUUUAACGGCCGCAGUACUUUGACUGUGCGAAGGUAGCAUAAUUAUUUGCCUUCUAAUUAGAGGCUUGUAUGAAUGGUUUGACGAGAAUAGAUCUGUCUUAAUUUAAUUUUUUAGAAUUUAACUUUUAAGUGAAGAGGCUUUUAUUUUAUUGAUAGACAAGAAGACCCUGUCGAGCUUAAAUUUUUAUUUGUAAAUAUAAUAGUUUUUAUAUUACUUGUGAUUUUAGUUGGGGUGACUGAGGAAUGUAAAUGAGUUUCCUUAAAUUUUUGUGUAUUUGUUGGUUAUGAUCCAUAGUUUAAUGAUUAGUAAAAUAAGUUACCGCAGGGAUAACAGCAUAAUCUUUUUUGAGAGUUCAUAUCGAAAAAUGGGUUUGUGACCUCGAUGUUGGAUUAAAGUGUCCUAAGGGUGUAGAAGUUUUUAAGGGUUAGUCUGUUCGACUAUUAAAACUUUACAUGAGCUGAG
rnacentral:rRNA from 1 species